CAUAGUUUUGGAGUCCCCUGGUGGAAUAAUAGCUGCACAAAUAGCGUUCCUUUCUGCGUGACUCAGCAAAGAUACUUUCAAGCUGGAGAACACUUUAAACACUGAAGUCCUGCUGCAGACAAGCAGAGCGAGCAGGUGGCGCCCUUAAACAUCUUGGCAGGGAGCUGGUUGAAGCCCACAUGUGCUUUCAAGUACCUGGAUGGAGCGUGGAGCUGUGAGCUAAGAUGAGACAACUGCUAAACAAGCCAUAACUAGGACACCAUGAAUUAUGCAUCAAUAUCCAGAUAGCUUAGCUGGAGCAGUGACUUGAUUACCUGUCAUAUAUAAUUCAACUGCAGUAUGUUUAUGACAGAGUGUGCUGUAUACUCCGAGUCUGCACAGAAACAGAAAGAAGCUCAUACUAAUGUUGGUGAUGGUGAAUGAUGAUUAUGAGCAACAGACUGUUUGCUGAACUGGAAAUGAUCAUCAUGCACCACUGCUUAAGUGUAAUAUGGGCUGAUGCACCACAGGACAUGUGUUCAGUUAAAAUUUCAAUAGAGAAAAUGUUGUUUCAUUUUCUUGUAUUAAAUGUAUCACUUUCUCUUACAUAUGAUUACAUGUCAACUUAUCCAUUAAGUCCCUUAUCCCUUAUCCAUGACCAUUCUGCAAAAUCCAGAAUUACAUCCAAGAAAGAGAAAAUAAAGUAUGAUUAAAGGGGAAAACAACCAUUUUAUACAUCAAGUGUUUCCAGGUGUUGGGGAGCACCACUGCACAUGUGAACAAAGUUGUAUUUAAAGCCAUUUGUGGCUCCAGAGAGAACUGUGUGAAAUCUGAUUAACUGCUGCCGGUCGAGUUGUAUUGUGGGUAAUGUAGGUACCCCGAUUUGACAAGGAGGAACAAUGCAUGGAAUAAAAAAAGAUGAUAUCUCUG